rnacentral:rRNA from 1 species
AUUGAGCGCUGGCGGCGUGCCUAACACAUGCAAGUCGAGCGGUAACAGGUGUAGCAAUACAUGCUGACGAGCGGCGGACGGGUGAGUAACGCUUGGGAAUCUGCCUAUUAGUGGGGGACAACCCGGGGAAACGUCGGGCUAAUACCGCAUACGCUCUACGGAGGAAAGCCGGGGACCGCAAGGCCUGGCGCUAAUAGAUGAGCCCAAGUCGGAUUAGCUAGUUGGUAGGGUAANGGCCUACCAAGGCGACGAUCCGUAACUGGUCUGAGAGGACGACCAGUCACACCGGAACUGAGACACGGUCCGGACUCCUACGGGAGGCAGCAGUGGGGAAUAUUGGACAAUGGGCGAAAGCCUGAUCCAGCGACGCGCGUGGGUGAAGAAGGCCUGCGGGUUGUAAAGCCCUUUCAGUGGGGAAGAAAAGCCUCGACCUAACACGUCGGGGUCUUGACGUAACCCAUAGAAGAAGCACCGGCUAACUCUGUGCCAGCAGCCGCGGUAAG